CCUACGGGAGGCUGCAGUGGGGAAUAUUGGGCAAUGGGCGCAAGCCUGACCCAGCAACGCCGCGUGAAGGAAGAAGGCUUUCGGGUUGUAAACUUCUUUUCUCAGGGACGAAGCAAGUGACGGUACCUGAGGAAUAAGCCACGGCUAACUACGUGCCAGCAGCCGCGGUAAUACGUAGGUGGCAAGCGUUAUCCGGAUUUACUGGGUGUAAAGGGCGUGUAGGCGGGAAAGCAAGUCAGAUGUGAAAACCAUGGGCUCAACCUGUGGCCUGCAUUUGAAACUGUUUUUCUUGAGUACUGGGGAGGCAGACGGAAUUCCUAGUGUAGCGGUGAAAUGCGUAGAUAUUAGGAGGAACACUAGUGGCGAAGGCGGUCUGCUGGACAGCAACUGACGCUGAGGCGCGAAAGCGUGGGGAGCAAACAGGAUUAGAUACCCCUGUAGUC
rnacentral:rRNA from 1 species